AACUUCCUAUGCAAGGAGGUGGCCUACAGCUGUAUUUUAGAAAAAGAAAAAGAGACAUUUCUCCAUACAACGAGGCAAACUGUCCCAGAGGCCAUGCAAUAGAAAGCUCACAGACCAAGACAAACAAAGAUGGAAAACAUACUGUUUGUGUUCUCAAGAAAUUUACAAUCUAAUGAUGGGGGUCGAAUGCCCAGAAUGCUGGAAGAGAGGCAGAAAGUGGCCUCUCACUGUUGUGGCCUCUCCCGUUGCGGAGCACAGGCUCUGG